rnacentral:rRNA from 1 species
GUUUUAGCCCCAUCCUUGUUCCUCACCCUCGUAAGACUACCCGCUGAACUAA